rnacentral:tRNA from 1 species
GUCUUUGUAGUAUAAUAAAUUACUCUGGUCUUGUAAACCAAAAAUGGAGAAGCAAUCUCCCCAAGACA